rnacentral:ncRNA from 1 species
CACCGCCCGUCGCUCCUACCGAUUGAAUGGUCCGGUGAAGUGUUCGGAUCGCGGCGACGGGGGCGGUUCGCCGCCCCCNCCGCCCCCGACGUCGCGAGAAGUCCAUUGAACCUUAUCAUUUAGAGGAAGGAGAAGUCGUAACAAGGUUUCCGUAGGUGAACCUGCGGAAG